GUUCAAACACUUGGAAAAGAAAAGCAGAUCGCCGCACCCGCUGCUCAAACUCCGUCGCCGCCGCAGCCGCUACUCAAACUCAGUCGGCGCUUUCGUUGCAACUCUGUCACCGUACCUACACCAACUUCGUCGCCCAUAGCAGAGCUUGGUCAAUGGAGGUUUUCGCCCAUAGCAGCGCCCACUGUGUUAGCCUUCGCAGCCGCCCGUCGCCGUUGCCGUCCCUCAUCGCUGUUUGCUUAUUUCUCGUUGCCGUCGAUGCGCUCCUUGUUGUUUCUAGUCGCCUUCGCCGUAUUUCUACAGUGUGAAAUUGGUGGAGCAAGAGUUAUGGCAGAAAGAAAAUAAGGGAGUGAUUGGGAUUCUCCUUGUUCAGGAUUCCGCAGAGACUAGUACUGUGGAUCCUGCUUUGUCUCCAGGCAUUGGAACUGAUUUUGUAGAGUGUACCUUGAAAAAUCAAGCUAGCAUAUCAUAUUUAACAAACAUGAUGGAAAAAGUCUGCAGCAAGUUCACUGGCAUAAGUGGUGAGUUGCUGCUUGAGCCCUGCAUCUCUCAAGAGGAGUGGAGAGACCAAGUGGGAGAGUGACUUAUUCAGUUGUGUUAGGACUUUGCAGAUUCCGUGUACAGGAGAUAAGUACCAGAGGGACUUAUUACACAGCACGAAUUACUUCUCUUGAGUUGACUAAAGCUGGUUCAGUAUAUCACUAAAUCUGGUUGGAUAUGUAAGGAAACUGUGACCAACUUGAAGCAAACACAACCUCAAGUGGCAGAAUCAGCAGUGUGGUUGGAGGCCACUGGUGGUUUGAGGAAAGGGGGUACGUUUUAGGAUUUGGGUCGGGUACCGCAUACUACUUCCCCGAAGCUAUGAUACACAUGAAAUCCAAUAUAGGGCCAUCAACUUCACAUUCAUCUUGCAAAGCUCGAAUUAAGCAAUUAGAGGAGCAAAAUCAAGUGAUGCAACAGCAGCAACAAGAUAUGCAUGAGGAAAA